AAAGCAGAAAAUACUGGUUUCGAACCAAUAAAAGGCAAAAGCCCUGCUUUAC
rnacentral:tRNA from 1 species